rnacentral:tRNA from 1 species
AAGGGAGACCUAAUUCCGGUAGGAGACGAAAAAAAAGUAGUCCCUACCAAGAAUCAAUCCCAAAAGGUCGAAGCGAGGCAAGAUUGGCUUUCAAACUAGGUUCUGGGUUCAAACAAGACCUGAAUCAGGAACAAGGGCUAUUAGCUCAGGUGGUUAGAGCGCACCCCUGAUAAGGGUGAGGUCCCUGGUUCGAGUCCAGGAUGGCCCACCUGCACAGGUGGCAAAAACAAAGAAGCGAGGAAUCAGCACCUUAUCUUACUCAUAUAGUAAGAGAGAAUGCUGGCUCUGAGUAAAGAGUCCAGAGGAGCCUUGAAAACUGCAUAGAGCUAGGUGAAAAAGCCAAAAAAGAAGACCGCAA